rnacentral:rRNA from 1 species
UACGUAGGGUGCCAGCGUAAAUCGGAAUUACUGGGCGUAAAGCGUGCGCAGGCGGAUGCUUAAGUCAGAUGUGAAAUCCCCGGGCUUAACCUGGGAAUGGCAUUUGAAACUGGGCGUCUGGAGUGCGGCAGAGGGGGGUGGAAUUCCACGUGUAGCAGUGAAAUGCGUAGAGAUGUGGAGGAGCACCGAUGGCGAAGGCAGCCCCCUGGGCCUGCACUGACGCUCAUGCACGAAAGCGUGGGGAGCAAACAGG